rnacentral:tRNA from 1 species
AAGAUACUAGUAAAACAAAAUAUUACACUGCCUUGUCGAGGCAGAGUUGUGGGUUUAAUCCCCGCGUAUCUUG